AUGCAAGCAAUCCACCGGACCAUCACCGACCACACGUCUCCCCCACGCUCUCACACUCUCCGGUGUCCGCUCCGGCGGCCUCUCUCUCUCUCUCUCUCUCUCUCUCUCUCUCUCUCUCGUGCGGCUUGCCGUUGAGAUGCCCGCCGCCGUCACCAGAUCCGUCCUCCCCAUCGUGCAGUUGAGAUGUGUCGCCGCCGCCGCCAACGACGACAUCUUCCUCGGCCGCCGGAGCUCAGAUCCGCCCUGCCCCUCCGGCUGCCGUCGAUACAGACCACGACCGACGCCUCCAGUCAUCUCCUAUGUACUCCUACAUCGACGGGGUCGUGCUUCCUUCUCGGUCGCCAUGGGUGUGGAGUGCCUGACCACAGCCUGUGCGUAAAAUCCCCAAAUUUCACACGGUGACAAACUCCGUCUCCCCAUUGACGCCCGUCUCCAGCGAGGGUUCCUCCUCAACCGCUCUGUCAUGGCCCCCUUCAUCUCCGCGGGUGAGAUCUCUCGCUCCUUCCCUUCAUCUCCCCUCCCGAGAUCCCAACACUAUCAACUAUUAACCCUCCGUUUGAUUUUUUGUUAACGCUGGCCGGCAAACAUACUGAUUCACCUCUUGUUGUUUCUCAAAUAGGCUAGUCAUCAAGAGUAAGUGUAGUUUGGUUUGGAUGUUAUCAUAUAACCCGCUGCUAAAUCUUUCGUCACCACAAUCAGUUUACAUUAGGUUCUCUGGACGGAUCUGGUUAUCUAUAUCUAUACUUACUGAAUGUGUCCGUGUGUUCAUAUUUGCUUAGGUAUUUUAUUACAUGACCAAAAAAAUCGUAUCACAGUGUCUUGCUUCAUCCGCCGGCCCUGGGAUGUGAGUGAUUGAACUCUUCCCCUGGAUCAUCUAGAACUCAAACAAUUUAGAUGUAGUCCUAUGCCAUAAUGUCCACAUGAGCAGCGAUGCCAAACGUACUGCCUGCUGGUUAUCCACAUCUGGUUUGUGUCUUUGUCUUUUUCAAAUUAGUUAUGCCUGAAAACAUGAAAAGUGUUUGGGGAUUAAUCCCAGCACGGCAUUCAUCGUCUUGCUGUGACUACCCUCCUCCCUUAAUACUUGAAUAUGGCGAUGUAACUAGCGUCUAUUUUACAGAAGUAUUUUUACAUCGUGCAUGAGUUUCUGUUACAUCAGCGAUACUAGUACAGUUAUUUCAGGUCAUGACAAGUAUCCCAACUGGAUGUAAUCUUUCUUUUUUUUGUACAUCCAGUAUGAUAGAAACAUGUAACACUCAUACGUAAUUUUUUUAACCAUCCUGGAUGUAAACAUUUUGAUCUGAAAGUAGCUUCUACAUCUUCAUUUUUUACAUCCUUAAUGAUUGAAUGAUAUAACACCAGUUUAAUCUGAGUUGUAACUUUUACUAAAUGAAGCGAAAGCAACACCAUCCAAUUACUAAUGCAGCAGAGGGUAAUUCUAGCCCAUACCCUGCAUAAUAAACAAAAAUACAAUUUUAAAAUGGAGACACUAAUGCGUCCACAAAUAUGCAAGAAACUAAUCAGGGAUUGCUGUAACAUCAUCCAGUUACCAACUCUUAAAUCCUACAUGUUGCAGCAUGAGCGUAUUUUUCUCUCAUUUCGUUUCUCUAACUUUUCUGUAAAUGCCUUCUUUUUGUAGAAUCCUACAUGUUGCAGCAUGAGCGUAUUUUUCUCUCAUGAAGAUAUUGCCUUGUCUGCCUCAUGCAUCCAAACAUUGCAAAAUCAAACAAACUAAAUUGCAAAAGUAAAUCAUAAUUUUGGAACAUGAUUCUACUGGAAGCAUGUUCAGGGAAGUUCAGGCUGAGCCACCAACAUUCUUACAGCAUCCGGACUUGACAUUUCAGUCAGGUUCCAGAAAAGGUAACAAAAACAAAACAACCCAUUGGCAAGAUUUGCCAUUUCUAGUCACCUACGCUAUAUGUCUCGGGCCCACGCAUUGACCAUUCCAUACCUAUUUCCAGUAAGUAUUUCUUUUCUCGUCUCAUCAUAGAACAUGGCGGUUACCCCUGACAGGGCCUCAGCAACUGUGUGUGCUACUGGAGGCUCCCCAGUUUGAGCAGUAAGCCCAGUUUGGUUGUCACUGAUUUCAGCUAGCCGUUUCCCGUUGCAAAUAUUAGUUACAUUGAUCAGUGCACCUUCAAAGCCUGCAAUAACAAUGUCAUUAUCAUAAGUUCAGAACUACCCGAUAUUGGGUUAACCAGGGUUAGUUUAGUUAAAAGAAUAUUACCUCGAGCAGGUGCAAAGUAAGACAUCAGGAUCUUGGCACUGUCAUUGAUCGCAAAUUGCUUCAGCUGUAAGGGCGGAGGGUAUUGCACCUCUGUUAAAAGCUCAGCGUUGCAAUUGAAAAUCGAAACUUCAGCUGCCGAUCCAAUAAUUAUUAGAUUAUCGCCUAGAAUUUGACACCACAGGUUGAAGCUUUUAAUGGUUGCUUGUCCUUAUUAUCCUUGCAUAACUGAACCAGGAAAAGCUGCAGUUUAGUAUCGUACUUCAAUGAUAUAUUGAUAAUAAUAGAACCUAGUUAAUGUAUUGGGGCGUAUGAUACCUACUUUUUUUAUCACGAGUGGCUUCUUGGCCUGGCUGAGAACUAGUGUAUCUCGCAUUAGGUUAAUGUAAUCGACAUCGAUUGUGUCCUUGAUCUGAAUCUUGUAACUUUUAGUUGCAGAUCCUUCCUGUAUUGAGAAUGCUUGUAUGGGAAUGCGACCGAACUGAUCCCUUCUGUACUCAAGGAUCAGCAUAUUGUGACUGCAAGGUACCUAUUGUUGUUCUGUGAUGAAAUCACUGCUGCCUUCUCAAUAUCUUGGAACAUCUCCACAUCGUCAGCAUCUUUAAUCUCUACUUCGUGGAAUACCCUUCGACGCCGGUAACUUGCUCUAGAGGUUGUAAUAUGGUGGCUCACAUUCUAGCAACAUAUGGGAUAAAUCUAAAAUCUAGCGAUGGCGUCCACAAAACCCUCUGUCACAGAUCUGAUGCUGCUGGUUUGAAAGGUUGAAAGGAAAUUAUCAUCUACUCUAGCGAUGGCAUCCUAUGGUGCUAAACUGAGGCUGGUGGACUCAAUGCUGAUCUCGUUUGCAGUUUAUGCCAUGUGCUCUAUUAGAAUCCCUCCCAAGAUCUUGGCAUACCUCUCGACAAACUACACCACCUAUGCCUCUGGAGAAGAAAAACUGAUCAAGGAGAAACUUCAAACUCGCUGGCUGCAUGGACGAUGGUGUGUAAACCAAAACAGAAAGGGGGGCUGGGGGUCCCCGACACCAAGAUCUUAAACACUGCACUUCUCUUGAAGUUCCUAGACAAAUUCUACAAUCACCAUGAUGUGCCAUGGGUCGAGUUGAUUUGGUCCACGUACUCCACUAGUUCUGUAACGCACGCGGCGGGCCCAUGUGGAUCAUUUUGGUGGAGAGAGUUAAUGCCCUUAUGCCGAUUUAACGCGGGAUCACCUCUGUUUCUACUCUCUUCUGGAAGAAUCAGUGGUGCGGGCAGAUACUCUCGGAUGCCUACCCGAGAGCUUUCUCUUAUGCUGUUUAUGAAGAUGCCACUGUCGAGCAAUUUCUCACGAUGCACUUGCUUGGUGAAGGCUUACAUCUACCAAUGUCAGUUCAGGUGCGCCAGGAGGUGGCCCAACUACACUUUGAGACUGCCAAAACUAGCAUCAAUACUAUGGCUACUGAUGACUGGGGGCCUAGGUACACGUCUGCUUGAUACUACACAUUUCUUCAGACAAUUCAGGAACCCUUCAAACGGAUUUGGAGGUCCAGGUGCGUUAUGAAGCUGAAAGUGUUGGCUUGGUUGCUACUGUCAGAUGGCCUAAACACCAAAGAUAUGUUAGGUUGCAGGCAUUACGUGGUGGGACCGGGCUCGCAGCGAUCUGACUGCUGCGCCCUUUGCCUUACCCAAUCCAAUGAAACUGUAGAGAACUUGAUCUUCUCGUGCACCUUUGCUAGGGAGUGAUGGAGCAAACUUGGAAUAACGUGGGGGGCUGGAAACGACAGAUUUGAAUGGUUGACACAUGCCAAGAGGGGCCAGGCUCAUGUUCAUGGAAGUCUUUGUGGGGGUGCCUGGCGCAGGAGGUUUAAGCAGGACUUUGGUCUGCUCAAGUGCCUUCUUUUUUUGCCUGCUGUCAGAGUUCUUCCUCUUCUUUUAUUUAUUGCUUUGGGCAGCCCCCAUGGCGGUGCCCCCCGUGUGUAUUUUGUAAAUCAUGUAACUCCUACACAUUUACUGUGCUUGCUUAAUACAAUGAGACUAGGAAACUCUCCUACAGUCAUUUAAAGUUCAAAAAAGAAAAAUCUGAAAUCUAG